UGGGGAAUAUUGGACAAUGGGGGCAACCCUGAUCCAGCCAUGCCGCGUGGGUGAAGAAGGCCUUCGGGUUGUAAAGCCCUUUUGUACGGGAAGAAAAGCGUCGGGUUAACAACCGGGCGUCAUGACGGUACCGUAAGAAUAAGCACCGGCUAACUUCGUGCCAGCAGCCGCGGUAAUACGAAGGGUGCAAGCGUUACUCGGAAUUACUGGGCGUAAAGCGUGCGUAGGCGGUGGUUUAAGUCUGAUGUGAAAUCCCCGGGCUCAACCUGGGAAUGGCAUUGGAUACUGGAUCGCUAGAGUACGGUAGAGGGUGGUGGAAUUCCCGGUGUAGCAGUGAAAUGCGUAGAGAUCGGGAGGAACAUCUGUGGCGAAGGCGGCCACCUGGACCAGUACUGACGCUGAGGCACGAAAGCGUGGGGAGCAAACAGGAUUAGAUACCCUGGUAGUCCACGCCCUAAACGAUGCGAACUGGAUGUUGGGGGGAACUUGCCCUUCAGUAUCGAAGCUAACGCGUUAAGUUCGCCGCCUGGGGAGUGCGGUCGCAAGACUGAAACUCAAAGGAAUUGACGG
rnacentral:rRNA from 1 species